CCUUCGAUAGCUCAGUUGGUACAGCGGAGGACUGUAGAUCCUUAGGUCGCUGGUUCAAAUCCGGCUCGAAGGA
rnacentral:tRNA from 1 species